AACGAACGCUGGCGGCAUGCCUAACACAUGCAAGUCGAACGAAGCCUUCGGGCUUAGUGGCGCACGGGUGCGUAACGCGUGGGAAUCUGCCCUUGGGUUCGGAAUAACAGUUAGAAAUGACUGCUAAUACCGAAUGAUGUCUUCGGACCAAAGAUUUAUCGCCCAAGGAUGAGCCCGCGUCGGAUUAGCUAGUUGGUGAGGUAAAGGCUCACCAAGGCGACGAUCCGUAGCUGGUCUGAGAGGAUGAUCAGCCACACUGGGACUGAGACACGGUCCAGACUCCUACGGGAGGCAGCAGUGGGGAAUAUUGCACAAUGGGCGCAAGCCUGAUGCAGCAACGCCGCGUGAAUGAUGAAGGCCUCGGUCGUAAG
rnacentral:rRNA from 1 species